rnacentral:lncRNA from 1 species
AAGACCACAGCAAAUGGAAGGAGAGGCUCCUCAGUGUGUAAAGCUUCGUCACUUUUGGGGGGUGAUUAGUGAGACAGAAUGACUGGACGAAUCUCACUUCGGUCACAGUGAAGCAUCCUGCCCUUGGCACUCGGGUGCAGGGCCAGAGUCUCUCUGCAGCCUCUAGUCGGGACUGGGAUUCCCAGGGGCUUCUUCGAGCUUUGGCCUCCCAUUGGUCACUGGAGAAUGAGUGGCCCAGAGCCUCACACUAUUUGACUGUGGGACAGCUGAGGUACAGAUGCGUUUUCCUUGGAGAGUUGUAAAGAAUUUUAAAUGCCACUGCACUCCAGCCUGGGCUACAAAACAAGACUACAUCACACACAAAAAAAGUAUAAAAUAAAUUAUAAAGUGAAAUUUUAUUUAGAAAGAAAAAUAAAUCAAACACAUUGCAAUCUUUAUAAAAGUAUACAAAUAUGACAGUAAAACUCAAACUGAAAGUACCUCUAACUCAGUCUUCCUUGAGCUGGAUCCAAAAAUGCCUUAAACUUUAUAGCUUCACGGUAAAAGUGCCUUUGUUACAUCAUGUCCCCCGUUAAAAGCCGGAGGCUGACAAAGUCAUACGGUUUAGGAACUACAGCCUCAAAACUCAUAAACAAGCUGUGAUGAGGCCCAAAUCAUCAUUUCUUU